UACGUAGGCACCAAGCGUUGUCCGGAUUUAUUGGGCGUAAAGAGCUCGUAGGCGGUUCGGUAAGUCGGGUGUGAAAACUUUGGGCUCAACCCAAAGCGUGCACUCGAUACUGCCAUGACUAGAGUUCGGUAGGGGAGUGGGGAAUUCCUAGUGUAGCGGUGAAAUGCGCAGAUAUUAGGAGGAACACCGGUGGCGAAGGCGCCACUCUGGGCCGAAACUGACGCUGAGGAGCGAAAGCGUGGGUAGCAAACAGG
rnacentral:rRNA from 1 species